GUCAAAGCAAGGUGUACUUGCUUUGGCAUUCCUUAAUGGCUGGCUGAGGGGUUAGCCUUCCUAACCCCUAGAAGGUGCCAACCCCACCACUCUAUUCCAUCCUGUAGCUUUGUACGUGGAUGUGAACUAGGCUGCAGCAGUCCGUGCAGUCCACCCUCUGGCCCACAUGUUGGUGUGAGGAUGAAGAAACAGCCUAGUUCAGUCCAACAAGCAGCAGCCUCUGGAUUUUUUUCACAGCCCAUGAGGUAGUCCUAGAGCUGUUCAAGGGCUGCUCCUUGGAAGAAUCUGCCUGAGAGUGAAUUCAAGCCAAAGAAAGCCGAGCAAAAGACUGACAGCUCCUCCAUAGCAGAACAUCUGGAUCCAGCCAUACCUGAAGCUGCUCCUCAAACUUUUCAAUUACACAACCCAACUCUGAUCUUGCUGCUCUGCGGUCCUGUCAGCACUUAUCCACCUCAAGCCAUGCAGAAGACUUGCUGCCAAUUCCUGGGGCCCUGUGUCUACCCUGUAUCAGACCCUGGGUACUCCAGACCCUGCAGGACGAUGGGGAUGGAAAGCACCAUGACCUGCUGGCCAACCACCACCUCCCAGGAGCGCUCAGGCCUGCCAGCACCAACAAGCUGCAAACACAUGCUUCUGGGGUGCACGGGGUUGUUUUUUCCAGGGGCCUUGUCCAAGCCAGAGAGGAGUGAAAUGUGAACUCCCCAACUUGAACCAUGCUCAGAGCAGCAGCGACAGUCAGGGUCCUCGGUCUGUGUGUGCUGGGAGCCAGGAUGGGCAAUAUUCCCUUCAAUGGAAACCAUCUUGGGAAGGAGGGCAGGGACAAAAGGCAUCAUGGGCUUCCUGUGUGUGGAAUACGUGAAAACAGCCUUCUUGGGGCUUGGAUCCCACUACACCACCUUCUUCAGUGACUCUGAUGUCCUAAGAAGUAAUUUCACAUCUCCAAGCCUCAGUCUGUCAUCCAUUAAAUGGACUUCCUGCCAUGGUCACUAUGGAGGAGGAAGACUGUCCAGGAGUGAAUUACUAUGGAAUUGGUGUGUGCUAAAUGCUCCAAGAGGUUUUGUUUUUUUAGCAGUAGAAGCCAUCUGGCAAGUAAGGUCCCACUGUUAUGCCCAUUCUGCAGAAAGGCUCAGCAGGCAAUUUACCGGAGGUGAUGACAGCUGAUCAGGUCCCUGGGACUGUAAGACCAAGGUCCUGGUUAAAUGGAAAGCAUGUGUGAUGGUUGGGCUAGGAACUGCAGUGCCUACUGGUGUUCUGGGGUGUAAGUGGUACAUGGGUUUGGCUCUGAUCCCCUCCAAUGGGGACCAGGCUAUGUGAGGAAUUACUGGGGGCCAGAUUCUGUGACUACGCCCCACAGUCCCAAGGCCAGUGUGAUCCGCCUUGGGAAACAGAAAAUAUGGAAAACUGUGUGCUUUCUGGCUGCAAGGAGAAUGUUGGUAAUCACAGUUCUCCCAUGGCAAUAUAACAUCUGCUGAGGACAAUGUAAAGAAUGCUAGUUCCUUAUUAAUGUGGGCAGGCAUCCAGGUAUAGGAAAGAACCUAGUCCCUCUCAACACACUCUCAAAAAAGAGUAAAGCUCAACCUGUUCCCUAUUUUUCAAAAUAUCUUUUCAACUGUUAUCGUUCCAUGAAUUACACAAAACCCCUGCCCUCUAGGCUUCUUGAUGGCUAAUAAAAGCGUGUCAACCUUAGAGAUUAUCGAGUCUGCCCACUAGAGGCAGGCUCCUCCCAGUUGCUUUACAGUUUAAAUAUUGUCUCUGUCUCUCUUUAUUCCCUGUUGUUCCCCUCUCACAGGUAUCUGAGGGUCAGAAUAGACCCCCAGAACCCCUCCACUGGGGCCCUGAGGCUGCAUGGAACAAAGGCACUGUGGGAGGA